GAGCUUGGAGCCGCAGGGCUUAAUCCCGCGCGGCUCAGAGAUGGGUUUCUGGACUCGCGAAGCAGCUGCAACAAGGCAUCACUCACUGUAUAAGUAUUUCCAUUUCUGAGAGCAAAAGGAAGAACUUAAGCGGGCGGCACUUGGAGUGUAAAUUGCUUUGUAGUAUUUAAAGGCAGAAUGGAUCCUGGGCAGCCGAGCUGCAACAAACCGGCAGGACUUCCUGUGAAAUCAUGACCACCAUGUGCUCUUUCAGCCUCUAUCAGUUCCUACCUCUAAGCACCUGAGAGCCAAAGCAAACCACAGGAAACCACAGACUCAAACUAAACGUCAGCUUUUCCCGGCUCUCAAGCCUGCUGGUCCCUGAACUAAAACUCACAUUAUCAACUCUACUGGUUCUUAGGCCUUUGGAGUCAGACUGGAACUACAGCAUUGACUCUUCCGGAACUCCAGCUUACUGACUACAGAUCUUGGAACUUUUCAGCUUCCACAACCAUAAUGAAAGCCAAGCAUAUUCCAUCAUUUCCUAAAACCAAGAUAGAGCACAUAUGGGAACUUGUGAAAUAAGGAUGCCCUGCGGUUGUUUUCAGGACUGAAGACAACAGCUCCACGAUGUAUCUUUGCAUAAGAAUACACUUGAAACCAAAGCACAAAGAGAGAAAGAAAAGAAAGAGAAAAAAGGAAGAAAGAAAAGAAAGAUGAAAGAAAGAAAGAGAAAGAAGAGAGAGGGAGAGAGAGAAAGAAAGAGAAGGAAAGAAAGAAGGAAGAAGAAAGAAAGAAAGAAAGAAAGAAAGAAAGAAAGAAAGAAAGAAAGAAAGAAAGAAAGAAAGAAAGAAAGAAAAAAGGAAGGAAGGAAAAGAAACACAUGGAAAGUGCUUCUUUGGACCUUUUAAGUUGCAUUAUCCCAUAAAAUGUGGUGGAUUCAAUGUUGUAUGGCCUGUAAAACUAAGUAAUGAAGGCUGAUAUGUACCCACCUGGCUCUGUCUUGGGAUCACACAACUUGGGAGCCAAAACAGGUGAGGAUGGGGAGGUGUCAAACAAGACCUAACCUCUCAACAAUCAGCUGGACACUGUUGUGUAAGAAUGUGAAGCUUGGCACUGCUGCAGCCAUCUUGUUCCAGGAAGGGUAAAACCUGAGGUUAGAAGCCAACAUCCUAAUGAUGGCAGAGAAGACAAAGAGAACCAGAGUCUAAAUGACAUUGUUGAGUUAGAUCACUACACUACCUCUAGUCUUCUUUUUAUGUGUGAUAAUAAAUCUCACUUAUACUUAAGCCAUUUGAAGUUGAGUCUAAUGUUCAUUUCAGACCAAAGCAGCUUAACUGACAUGUUCUCCGCUUUGUUACCCUAUCCAGUUGUUUUCAUGCAGGAAAUAAAUCUCAAAU
rnacentral:lncRNA from 10 species